AGAGCUUGGGAUACCCAUAUCCACUCUAUAGUACAAGCGAUCAGGACUUCAUCUCACGAAGUAACCAAAUGUCCUCCAUCUUAUUUAAUGUUUGGUCGUCAUGUUCCUCUCUCUGGUGAUUAUUUUGGUAAAAUCUCAGAAAAUGCCACAAAUUUUCCUACUAUAUCAGAUAAGUUACACCGCUUAGAAGACAUUCAGAAUCUUCCUGAUAUUUAUGUUGAUGUUCGAAAACGUUUAAAGGCAUCUUAUGACAGAAAUAAGUGCCAUUAUAACCUGAGAAAGCGAGCCUUAUCUUUCAGGGUUGGAGAUUCCGUUUUAAAGAAAAAUUUUGUCAAAUCUGAUAAAGUGAAUUUCCAAUCUGCCAAGCUGUGUCAAAAAUACAUACCUUGUACUGUCAUUAAAGUUAUUUCUCCUUUAAUUUAUGAGUUAAAGGAAACUUCUACUGGUAAGAAACUGGGAAGGUUUCAUAUUAAAGACUUACUCGAGGAUAAGACAGUAGGUCCACAUAACUUGGUUGAUAAUUUAGAUUAUUCAUCUUCAGACGAAGAUUAACGUGUAAGGGACCAGUUUGUUUAUUUAAGACCUAUUUACCGGUUUUGUUUGCCUGGCCAACAUAUGUCUUUGCCAUCCAUUUUUUUUUUAAUUUUUAUCUUAUCUUAAUAUUGUUUAGUAGCUCGGUCACUAAAGCCCGGUUACUAACUCGGUCAUUUUAUUGUUAGCUGUCUCUUAAAAGAACAAAGUAUAUAUCAUAGGAGUACAGGAUGGAUAAUGGGAAUUUUCCCCAUCUUGAGUUCUUGGUUGAAUAGGUAUUUACAGGGAUAGUUAGGGAAUGUUGUUUUUUUUAAUACUCUUUUGAUUUAUGGUUUUGCAUGGGUCGCGAACCAUGGCCAUAAAACUUAUAUAGUCACAUAACUGUUUCAGGGUUUUAGCGUGGGUUCAGGAUUGAUCACCCUGGACUUGUGCACUCCACUUGGCUCAGAAAUAUAUUAAUACCUAUCAGUUGUUCCUUGAGUGUCUCUUAGGCUGAAAUUAGAAUGUGUCAUUUAGAAUUGGAUCGUUCUAAUAUUCGGCAGUAAGUAAGUCCAUUUGACUUCGAUGUCAUCUCCUAUACUAUUAUUUAUUUUAAACGAUUCGAGUUUAAUAUACCUCAUUACCUGAAGUUGUUUACCUCUCUCUCCACCACCUGCUUGGAUGUGAGUAUGUGAGUUACCUUAUUUGUCUCUCUAAUGAGCAUUAUGCUAGUAGAUGUUCUUCUGCCUUAAAUAUGAAAAGGUAGAUGUGAGGUUAUCGUUAUCUUUACCUGAAUUGACGUUGUCUUUACCUUUAUCUUGGGUUCAUGUUGUACCUUUACCUUGAUGAGUUUGUCACUUAUCUAUAUCUUGAUUGAGUAUACCUCUUACCUUUAUCUUGUGUAUAGAGUCCUAAGAAUCUGUCCUUCACUGUCUUUGUCGUGAGUGUGGAAUUGGACCACGUAAAUAGUACAGUUUAGGUAUUACAAUUAGGACAUUUAAUGUCUUUUACCUUUGUGCAGACCCUCUACCAAGAGUAGAUGCGGGCUUGCCAGUAUCUUUACCUUUUUGCAUACCCUAUACCAUGAGUAUAGUGGCAUUGCUAGGGUCUUUACCUUAUUAUGUCUUCCUACUGCUAUGAAAGCUAGUAGAGAUGUUAUGGAUUAUUUUUACCUUGAAUUUUCUAUGUUCUUGAUAUCCAGAACCACAUCAUAUAUGUUUAGGUUUCUAGUAAUAUAGUUUUAACUAGUCCUAAUAAAUUAGGCCCUCAGUGAACUCUUGGGUGAUUAAUAGAAUCUGGUCAUUCUAGUGUCAUUGUUGGGUAUAUUGAUAGGAUUCGUUUUAGGUUAGUUGUUGUAAAUGGUUCUUGGUAGUAGUAUUUUAAAGGGUUGUUAAUAUACAACCAUAAUGUAGUUUUAAUGAGGUUUAUACUAACACUUGAGAAUGUAGAUGAUAAGUGGUGUAAAUAGUUAACUUUCUCUAUAAGAUUAUAGUAUUGUAGUUAAAACGUAGGUGAUUAAGAUGUAAUUUUUUUUUUGUAUCUUCUUCCUUUCUUAACCUGUAGUCCUACUAAAUUAAAUUACGUUAUCUCGUUUGAUAACUCUGGUCAGUUACACAUCCCCUCUCUGUUAUGUCUUAUGAAAAACGUAAUUCAAUGUAUCUCGCGUAUUCUCUAUCUCUCUCUUACUGCGUCAUUGAUUUCGGUCCGGUCUCUCCUCUGCCAAUGGUUUAGGUGGUAAAAUUAACAUCAUGUCAUCCCUGAAGAAAACAAAAAAAAAGGAAACUUCUGGAAGUUUUCCUUUUUUUUACUGAAGAUAGGGGAGAAUGUAGCAUUUAUUGCUACCCCGUAAGUGUUUUAUUUGAUGCGCCUAUGUAUCUUUAUAACUCCCUAACGCUUCGACGUGUCGGCGCAGGCCGAACGACCUACGGGACGGGAGAGAGAAGCGAAACUCGUAAUAGUAAAAUCAGUUGGUUAAAGAACAUCCGCUCUGAUACGUGAGCUGUUGCUAUUUGUAGACGAACUCUGGGAAAAUAAUGGACUGAAAUUAAAUAUAUUACAUACCACCAGUAAACUAAACAUCAGGAAACUCAACAGACAAUCUCCAAAGUAACAAAAAAACAAGAAUUCAAGAAAUUAUAACAUAAAUUAUACCACGUGGUCACGUAUCAGAGAUCCCAGGGUUCGUUUUACAUUCUACAUCAUAUUUCCAUUCCACCCAUAAUAUGGAUACUUAGCUGGAUUUUUUUAUGGUUAAAUAUACCUUAUAUAACUAAUUUGGAUACUUAAUUGGAUUUUUUUUUAUGGAUAAAUAAAUGGAUAAACAUACUUUAUAUAACUAAUAGUAGGACAUCAUAAACCAUUACCGACCCGUUUCACCAAAUACAUCCACAGAACCUCUCAACUUCAGACCGCUCCACACAGAUGUUAUAGUGGCCAGAGAUUUCCCAAAUCUAGUGGACCUUCCUAUGAAUAUACCCAGGAGUUGCAAAAGAUAAGAGUUUUUUUUUUCUUUAUUUCAAUUCAUACCUAUAAAUAUUUUGGUUUUUACUCUACAGUAAUAAAUUUGUGUAAACUGUUUAUAUGCAUAUAACAGGUACCUAUACUACACUAUAUACAUAGGGUUUUGAAGUAGGAUUUUAAAUAAAGUUAGGUAAUGGUAAAUAAUAAAUAAAUAUUCAAAUAAAAUAAAUUAAUUGAUAAGGGAAAUGGGAAUUAAGACAUAUAUAAAGAUUGUCGAUAGGUUUUAAAUAAUAUUUCUGGAUAAUUCUUUAACCAAACUCAUUUUGUUAGUUUUAUAUAGCUUCCAGCAUCUAUGUUUACUUAGGUAUAGUACUUAGACAUAGAUCUGGUAUUUCGAUUGUUUCGGACACUUAAUAGUUCGAUUGGUGAGUACGUCACCCUUUAAGUCUCUGCUAGAUAAGGUAUUAAAUUUGUUUUUGUGUAACCAUUAGUUGUUCUAGUAUUAAUUAUACCUUAUCUAGUCUAGGAUCAAUUAAUAUUAGUAUACUAACCAUAGUAUAGGAUUUUGCUACGCUUACGGACACUGACCUGGUUUUCGUUAUUGAUAUUUUUAUAUUGCGCAAUAGCGGUGGUAAUUUACUUGGCGUAACCCUUUGGGUUCUAGAUUGUUAUUUUUCUCAACUCCACCACUAUUGUUUAUCUCACAUGUUGUAUAAGUAUCAUGGAUACAUUGUAAGUUGUGAAAUAUUAUAAAUAUAUUUGUUCUUAGUAA